rnacentral:rRNA from 1 species
UGAGCUUGAUCCUGGCUCAGGACGAACGCUGGCGGCGUGCCUAAUACAUGCAAGUCGAGCGCAGGAAGCCGGCGGAUCCCUUCGGGGUGAAGCCGGUGAGAAUGAGCGGCGGACGGGUGAGUAACACGUGGGCAACCUACCUUGUAGACUGGGAUAACUCCGGGAAACCGGGGCUAAUACCGGAUGAUCAUUUGGAUCGCAUGAUCCGAAUGUAAAAGUGGGGAUUUAUCCUCACACUGCAAGAUGGGCCCGCGGCGCAUUAGCUAGUUGGUAAGGUAAUGGCUUACCAAGGCGACGAUGCGUAGCCGACCUGAGAGGGUGAUCGGCCACACUGGAACUGAGACACGGUCCAGACUCCUACGGGAGGCAGCAGUAGGGAAUCAUCCGCAAUGGGCGAAAGCCUGACGGUGCAACGCCGCGUGAACGAUGAAGGUUUUCGGAUCGUAAAGUUCUGUUAUGAGGGAAGAACAAGUGCCGUUCGAAUAGGUCGGCACCUUGACGGUACCUCACGAGAAAGCCCCGUGCUAACUACGUGCCAGCAGCCGC